GAUGAACGCUAGCUACAGGCUUAACACAUGCAAGUCGAGGGGAAACGGCAUUAAGUGCUUGCACUUUUUGGACGUCGACCGGCGCACGGGUGAGUAACGCGUAUCCAACCUUCCCAUGACUAAGGGAUAACCUGCCGAAAGGCAGACUAAUACCUUAUGGUCUUCACUGACGGCAUCAGAUGUGAAGUAAAGAUUUAUCGGUUAUGGAUGGGGAUGCGUCUGAUUAGCUUGUGGCGGGGUAACGGCCCACCAAGGCAACGAUCAGUAGGGGUUCUGAGAGGAAGGUCCCCCACAUUGGAACUGAGACACGGUCCAAACUCCUACGGGAGGCAGCAGUGAGGAAUAUUGGUCAAUGGGCGAGAGCCUGAACCAGCCAAGUAGCGUGCAGGAUGACGGCCCUAUGGGUUGUAAACUGCUUUUGUAUGGGGAUAAAGUCAAUCACGUGUGAUUGUUUGCAGGUACCAUACGAAUAAGGACCGGCUAAUUCCGUGCCAGCAGCCGCGGUAAUACGGAAGGUCCGGGCGUUAUCCGGAUUUAUUGGGUUUAAAGGGAGCGUAGGCUGGAGAUUAAGUGUGUUGUGAAAUGUAGACGCUCAACGUCUGACUUGCAGCGCAUACUGGUUUCCUUGAGUACGCGCAACGUUGGCGGAAUUCGUCGUGUAGCGGUGAAAUGCUUAGAUAUGACGAAGAACUCCGAUUGCGAAGGCAGCUGACGGGAGCGCAACUGACGCUGAAACUCGAAGGUGCGGGUAUCGAACAGG
rnacentral:rRNA from 1 species